rnacentral:lncRNA from 1 species
GCCUCUUCGCUUUGCUCUGGCCCCGAAGCGCUGGGAUUGGGACCUCCCUUCCUCCCGACCAGCUCAUCCUGGGAAAGCUGGGGUUGCUUUUUCGGGUUUCUCUGGACUCUGGGUCUCCGUUGGCAAAGACAUGAUGCCCAGUCAGGAGGAGUAAGGCCUGAGAGAGUUGUUUUUUUACUUGGGUGAGUUGGCUCCCCAGGCUUUUGAGAUACCUGCCUUUUGUCCAGCACUGCAUCGUCCUCGCAUAUCCAAGGCUGUGUCUCCCUUCAGCAUCACCACUCGGUAGUUAUAAUUCCGCCUUUUAUCAGAAGCUGAUACAUUUUCAUCGGCAUCAGACCGUAUUUCUAUGUAUUCAAUAUCUGACACAGGAAGAAGAAUAUUUUAGAGGAACC